rnacentral:rRNA from 1 species
AUUGAACGCUGGCGGCAUGCUUUACACAUGCAAGUCGAACGGUAACAGGCCGCAAGGUGCUGACGAGUGGCGCACGGGUGAGUAAUGCAUCGGAACGUGCCCAGUCGUGGGGGAUAACUACUCGGAAGAGUAGCUAAUACCGCAUACGAUCUAUGGAUGAAAGCGGGGGACCGUAAGGCCUCGCGCGAUUGGAGCUGCCGAUGUCAGAUUAGGUAGUUGGUGGGGUAAAGGCUCACCAAGCCAACGAUCUGUAGCUGGUCUGAGAGGACGACCAGCCACACUGGGACUGAGACACGGCCCAGACUCCUACGGGAGGCAGCAGUGGGGAAUUUUGGACAAUGGGCGCAAGCCUGAUCCAGCAAUGCCGCGUGCAGGAAGAAGGCCUUCGGGUUGUAAACUGCUUUUGUACGGAACGAAACGGCUCUGGUUAAUACCCGGGGCUAAUGACGGUACCGUAAGAAUAAGCACCGGCUAACUACGUG